CCGAGCAGGGAGGCGUCCUUCUUUGCCCGAUCUCACCGGACGCUGCGCGGUAAGGCGCAGUCACCAAUACAAUCGACUGUAUAAAUAGACGGAGGAGAGGAUGCGAGAGAACCAUCAACUGCGCCUUUCACCGCCAUUCUCACAGCAACAAAUCCUUCGACCCAUCGAUUAUUUCCAGAUUUCCAGGUGAAAACAUAUCCAAAUCCCGACUCUCCUCACUCUUCUUCUUUUUUUUUUUUCCUGACAUUUUUUCAUUAUUAUUUCAACGCAACAUCGAUAUAUUCUUCUUCUUUGCUGGCUACAAUCUUUCAGACGAGGAGGCGAUGGCGGCGAAAGAUACAGAUUCUUCCAAUGAUGUCGCUCGACUGGGAGAGUUAGGGACAGAAGAAGCCCUGACUCGCGUUCCGAACCCCCCUCGAGUUUACCGCUGCGGCAAGUGCCGAACCCAUGUCUCGCGUUCCGAUGACAUCCUAGCAGAAACACAGGAGCAUUAUGGGCCUGUGAUUCUGUUUUAUCGUGCCACGAACAUAUAUUUGGGGCCAGAGCAAGGCUGGCGGCGACUGAGAGGAGGACUGUCUAAGGUUGCCGAUGUCUUCUGCCGUGGAUGCGAUGAGAACUUGGGAUGGAAGUAUGUAAGAACUCAUGAUUUUCCAAACAAUUUUACAGAAGGGAUGUUCAGCAUCGACAGUGCAAAGAUUGUCGUGGAGUAAAGUUGUAAAUGGAUGGUGUGUUGAAGAAGAAUAAUUUGGUUCUGCGUGAUCCUGGAUCUUUGGAUAGAUACCCUCAACUAUUCUUGUACAUUAAGUUAACCUUCCCACCGUAGUGUGCUGGUCUCUGUAAAUAUCGGUGAUGUUGGUCCUCCAAUCAUGAAAACAUUUUCAUUAGUUGCAUGCAAUCACAGGUGCCUUCUUUUCUCGUA